rnacentral:rRNA from 1 species
CAGUAGCCGCGGGAAUACGGAGGGGGCUAGCGUUGUUCGGAAUUACUGGGCGUAAAGCGCACGUAGGCGGCUUGGUAAGUUAGAGGUGAAAGCCCGGAGCUCAACUCCGGAAUUGCCUUUAAGACUGCCGAGCUAGCAGGUGAGAGAGGUAAGUGGAAUUCCGAGUGUAGAGGUGAAAUUCGUAGAUAUUCGGAAGAACACCAGUGGCGAAGGCGGCUUACUGGCUCAUACUGGACGCUGAGGUGCGAAAGCGUGGGGAGCAAACAGGAUUAGAUACCCCAGUAGUCCCUGUCUCUUAUAA